rnacentral:misc_RNA from 1 species
GUUAAGCCCAGUCCAUCAGUGAUCUCAAAACAACAGCUCCACACCUUCAUCAUAUGGUUUAGGCUUUAGUCUUUUUCAGUCUCAUAGUAGUAGUGAUAUGAUCACUAUUAUUAAAUGUUAAAAAUUAUGAUUAUUAGCAUCCGUUUUUGAGUUUUAAACUGUAAGCAAGUCAUCUUUGUUAAUAUAAAGCCACCUCCAACUGGUUCAGGCUCAAGCUGACCUUCAUUAUGAUACCUUGCCCCUUGUGCAAUCUCUCUCUCUCUCUCUCAAACAGAAAAAGUUUUAAAAUUGUUGCAAUAUUAACCCUGAAGUAGGGGGCAGCUAAAAGAUAAGUGUUAAAUGCCCACCAACAACUUCUUUAGCCUCUUUUUUUCUUGAAACCUUGUAGCACAUUCUUCCUUAUUCCAAGCUUGGAAGCAACCACCUCAUUCUUCUCUCUCUCUCUCUCUCU